UACGGAGGGUGCAAGCGUUAUCCGGAUUCACUGGGUUUAAAGGGUGCGUAGGCGGGCAGGUAAGUCAGAGGUGAAAUCUCCGGGCUUAACCCGGAAACUGCCUUUGAUACUAUCUGUCUUGAAUAUGGUGGAGGUAAGCGGAAUAUGUCAUGUAGCGGUGAAAUGCUUAGAGAUGACAUAGAACACCCAUUGCGAAGGCAGCUCACAAAACUGUAACUGACGCUGAGGCACGAAAGUGUGGGGAUCGAACAGG
rnacentral:rRNA from 1 species